rnacentral:rRNA from 1 species
UGGGGAAUAUUGCACAAUGGGGGAAACCCUGAUGCAGCGACGCCGCGUGAGCGAAGAAGGCUUUCGAGUCGUAAAGCUCUGUUCUAUGAGAAGAUAAUGACGGUAUCAUAGGAGGAAGCCCUGGCUAAAUACGUGCCAGCAGCCGCGGUAAUACGUAUGGGGCGAGCGUUGUCCGGAAUUAUUGGGCGUAAAGGGUACGUAGGCGGUUUUUUAAGUCAGGUGUCAAAGCGUGGAGCUUAACUCCAUUAAGCACUUGAAACUGAAAGACUUGAGUGAAGGAAAGGAAAGUAGAAUUCCUAGUGUAGCGGUGAAAUGCGUAGAUAUUAGGAGGAAUACCGGUGGCGAAGGCGACUUUCUGGACUUUUACUGACGCUCAGGUACGAAAGCGUGGGGAGCAAACAGG